rnacentral:rRNA from 1 species
GAUGAACGCUGGCGGCGUGCCUAAUACAUGCAAGUCGAGCGAACGGACGAGAAGCUUGCUCCUCUGAUGUUAGCGGCGGACGGGUGAGUAACACGUGGAUAACCUACCUAUAAGACUGGGAUAACUUCGGGAAACCGGAGCUAAUACCGGAUAAUAUUUUGAACCGCAUGGUUCAAUAGUGAAAGACGGUUUUGCUGUCACUUAUAGAUGGAUCCGCGCUGCAUUAGCUAGUUGGUAAGGUAACGGCUUACCAAGGCAACGAUGCAUAGCCGACCUGAGAGGGUGAUCGGCCACACUGGAACUGAGACACGGUCCAGACUCCUACGGGAGGCAGCAGUAGGGAAUCUUCCGCAAUGGGCGAAAGCCUGACGGAGCAACGCCGCGUGAGUGAUGAAGGUCUUCGGAUCGUAAAACUCUGUUAUUAGGGAAGAACAUAUGUGUAAGUAACUGUGCACGUCUUGACGGUACCUAAUCAGAAAGCCACGGCUAACUACGUG